rnacentral:rRNA from 1 species
UACGUAGGGUGCAAGCGUUGUCCGGAAUUAUUGGGCGUAAGAGCUACGUAGGUGGCCUGUCGUCGUCGGCUGUGGAAAACUCGGGGCUCAACCUCCGAGCUUGGCAGUCGAUACGGGCAGGCUAAGAGUUCGGCAGGGGAGACUGGAAUUCCGUGGUGUAGGCGGUGAAAUGCGCAGAUAUCAGGAGGAACACCGGUGGCGAAGGCGGGUCUCUGGGCCGAUACUGACACUGAGGAGCGAAAGCGUGGGGAGCGAACAGG